CGAGAAUUCAGACAGUGGGCCGCAGGUCUCAGCAGCUAGCUCGCUAGGCAGAGGGAGGCCAAGCGAGUCGCAGACGGGGUCUCGAGACCAAAGCCGAAGCGGGAUCCACACAGCGCAGCCCGCCCGCGCACCCGGUGCCGCGAAAGCCUCCGGCGCAGCGCGGCCAUGGAGCCCACCAGCAAGAAGCUGACGGGCCGCCUCAUGCUGGCCGUGGGAGGGGCAGUGCUCGGCUCCCUGCAGUUUGGCUACAACACUGGCGUCAUCAAUGCCCCCCAGAAGGUGAUUGAAGAGUUCUACAACCAGACGUGGAUGCAGCGCUAUGGGGAGCCCAUCCCGCCCGCCACACUGACCACACUCUGGUCCCUGUCCGUGGCCAUCUUCUCGGUGGGAGGCAUGAUUGGUUCCUUCUCCGUGGGCCUUUUUGUUAACCGUUUCGGCCGGCGAAAUUCAAUGCUGAUGAUGAACCUACUGGCCUUCGUGUCUGCUGUGCUCAUGGGCUUCUCAAAACUGGGCAAGUCCUUUGAGAUGCUGAUCCUGGGUCGCUUCAUCAUCGGUGUGUACUGCGGCCUGACCACUGGCUUUGUGCCCAUGUAUGUGGGGGAGGUGUCCCCCACGGAGCUUCGGGGGGCCCUGGGCACCCUGCACCAGCUAGGCAUCGUCGUCGGCAUCCUCAUCGCCCAGGUGUUCGGCCUGGACUCCAUCAUGGGCAACCAGGAACUGUGGCCCCUGCUGCUGAGCGUCAUCUUCAUCCCGGCCCUGUUGCAGUGCGUCCUGCUGCCCUUCUGCCCCGAGAGCCCCCGCUUCCUGCUCAUUAACCGCAACGAGGAGAACCGGGCCAAGAGCGUGCUGAAGAAGCUGCGUGGGACCGCAGACGUGACCCGCGACCUGCAGGAGAUGAAGGAGGAGAGCCGGCAGAUGAUGCGAGAGAAGAAGGUCACCAUCCUGGAGCUGUUCCGCUCGGCCGCCUACCGCCAGCCCAUCCUCAUUGCCGUGGUGCUGCAGCUGUCCCAGCAGCUGUCCGGCAUCAACGCUGUUUUCUAUUACUCUACAAGCAUCUUCGAGAAGGCGGGGGUGCAGCAGCCUGUGUACGCCACCAUUGGCUCCGGCAUCGUCAACACAGCCUUCACUGUCGUGUCGCUGUUUGUGGUGGAGCGAGCCGGCCGGCGGACCCUGCACCUCAUAGGCCUGGCCGGCAUGGCUGGCUGUGCGGUGCUCAUGACCAUCGCGCUGGCGCUGCUGGAGCAACUGCCCUGGAUGUCCUACCUGAGCAUCGUGGCCAUCUUUGGCUUUGUGGCCUUUUUCGAAGUGGGCCCAGGCCCCAUCCCAUGGUUCAUUGUGGCUGAACUCUUCAGCCAGGGCCCUCGCCCCGCUGCCAUUGCCGUUGCCGGCUUCUCCAACUGGACCUCGAAUUUCAUUGUGGGCAUGUGCUUCCAGUAUGUGGAGCAACUGUGUGGACCCUAUGUCUUCAUCAUCUUCACCGUGCUCCUGGUUCUGUUCUUCAUCUUCACCUACUUCAAAGUUCCCGAGACAAAAGGCCGGACCUUCGAUGAGAUUGCUUCUGGCUUCCGACAGGGAGGAGCAAGCCAAAGUGACAAGACACCUGAGGAGCUGUUCCACCCCCUGGGAGCUGAUUCCCAAGUGUGAGGUGCCCCACACUGCCAGCCCGGUCUGCUCCCAGUGGCCCAAGGAUCUCUCAGAGCGCAGGCAGCUGGAUGAGACUCUCAAACUGAUAGAUCUCAGCAGACCCGGGCCUGGGGCUCCUUCCUUCAGCCAGCAGUGAUGUCCAGAAGAAUAUUCAGGACAUUAACGGCUCCAGGAUUUUAACAAAAGACUGUUGCUCAGAUCUAUUCAGACAAGCAACAGGUUUUAUAAUUUUUUAUUACUGAUUUUGUUAUUAUUUUUUUAUCAGCCAGAGUCUCCUUCACCCACAUCCCUGGCUUCACCCUAAAUGGCUCAGUGCCUGAGGGUGGGGACCAAGCCCUGCCUAGACACUUGCCUUCUUUGCCAAGCUAAUCUGUAGGGCCGGACCUAUGACCUAAGGACACACUAAUCAAACUGCAAACUAUGAGUCUUCUACCCCAAGAGGUGGCUAUGGCCACCCCUUCUGUGGGCCUGGGUCUCCCAAACCUAGGGGUCAGGCUCCGUUAGGUUUUGCCUAUUCCCAUCUCUUCCUACCCAACCACUCAAAUUAAUCUUCCCUUGCCUGAGACCAGUUGGGAGCACUGGAGUGCAGGGAGGAGAGGGGAAGGGCCAGACUGCACUGCCAGGUGCUAGUCUCCUUUGCACUGAGGGCCAGAUGAUCACCAUGAGAGGAGGAGGGCCAUGGGAAACUGAGAACUCACUAUUCAAGAAGACCUGGGCACUCCUGCCCUGCUGUGUAUAGUUAGAAGAUAUUUAUAUAUAUUUUUUGGUUGUCAAUAUUAAAUACAGACACUAAGUUAUAGUAUAUCUGGACAAACCAACUUGUAAAUACACCACCUUACUCCCUCUGUAACUUACCUAAGCAGAUAUAAAUGGCUGGUUUUUAGAAACGUGGUUUUGAAAUGUGUGUGGAUUGAGGGUAGGCAGAUUUGGAUGGGAAUGGGAGAGAAGCCACUCUUAGAACGGCUUCAGACUUUCUGACUCCAAGAUCCAGUUAUUUCCAAGCACCGUUGGUAAACAACUUCUACUGCUUAAAAAUCUAUUUGAUCUCUAUUACCUAGAGAUUACCUGAAAAUUGUGGCAUUUGUGGCAUUCCCAUUUUUCUUCACAAAUGAUAGCUGGUAUUCAAAAGAAUGACAGCUAUGUGCUGACCUUGAUGCUCAGGCCUUGAUAUGCAUUAUCUUGAAAGUGAGGUAGGUACUAUCUCUAUGUUUUUGACAGGCUCAAAGAGGUUAAGGUGCCUGAAGUUUCACAGUAAAUAUGCUAAAACCCCUGCUUUUAAGUUAUACUGCAGGAAUUCCCUGAUGCUUUCACUGUGGUGGCCCAGGUUCAGUCCUCGGUCAGGGGAACUAAGAUCCUGCAAGCCACACGGUGUGGAAAAAAAAAAAAAAUUAUACUGCACACCCCCUCCGCUAUACCUCAAUCCUCCCCUCAAACUCCCAUCCCCUUCAAUGAACCAUGUUCACUGCAUGGGCCGAGUGAGCUGUUAAGCUGCCUUUUUCCAUCUGUUUAAUUCAGAAUGCCCUGUAUGAUACAGCGUAUAGGCUACUGCACACUCUGAAAAGAUUUUUCAUGCCCUUCUCCCAAUCCCUGAAUUUCAAGAGCACUUUGUUUCUUUCCUGUGGCACCAUAUCUUUAUCACAAGCUCCUAUUUCGUCCACUAGCCUCAAUUUCACAGAAAGAAGUCAAUUUGAUUCUUCUGGGUCUCCAGUACUAAAUACAGUCCUUGGCACAAAGCAGGUAGUCAGAAGACAGUUAAUGAAACAGAAGCACCAAAGAUAUUUGUCCCUAGAGGUUCAUCUGACAAAAUCUUGUGGGGAGUUGGGGGGGGGGGGGCAGAUAUAGCUGUGGAAGCUUUCAUAACUGCACACAGGUGAAACUGAAAUCUGCUUGGCAUGAAGAGGGGUUGUAAGGAGAGGGCAAAAAGGGAAAAAGUACAUCCUAGUUGGCCGAGCCUAUCUGUAUUAUCAUUAGGUAUAAAGAAUCUGAAGAGUUAGCCAUCAUCUCACAAAGAGGGAAGUUCAGAGAAGGGGUGUGCUUUACCUGAGCAGGGGGGCAGGGUGGUGAACCUAUGAAGGGCAGGGGCCAGGUGCGUUGAAGGAGGACUUAUCACAUGUCCAUGUCCUCAAAAGUCUUCUGUUGAAAGGAGUUAGUUCGCAGGGGUGACCCCUGCUUCCAGGUGUGCACUCAGGGCUCUUAAAAACCUAUGGUGACACUGGCUGUCCCACCGGAUGGAAGGACUCGGGGUGGGGUUAGGGCCGAAGAGGCACGAGCGGCCAGAACUUAGGGAUGCAAAGCAGAUGGCGCCGAAAUAGGGCAGAGCCCGGAAACACUCUAGCCCCGCCACAGCCCAGGGCUCCAGACCUUGUUUGAAAAGGUCCGAGAAUCCACUCCCGGGUUCCCGCUCUUCACAAGGCUUGCACCAACGUGCUGGAUGCCACCAUUUCCCAAACUGCGAGGUGCACGCAGGCGCCUGGAGUUCCGGCCCGCCCCAGCCUGGGUCCACAAUUCUUAAGGAGGCACAGUUUCUGGUCCCUUGCCGCCUGUUCUCUAGAGGCCGCAGUCCAUCGCGAGUGUAGAAGAUUUGGUGCCAGGGCGAUCUUUCAUCUUCACCAUAGACCCCUAACACUGGUGCUUCAGGGCUGGCUGGGCACUCGCGCACCCACGUGGUUAGCCUCCAUUGUCUACUCGCGGGGAGGGCGGGGCCACGCAGUGUCUUCACCAAUCACUACUGCAAUGUUGGGCUGGUGAGGGGCGGGCCUCAGGCUCACACCAAUCACAGCCUGGCUGCUCCGGGCGGUGGUCCAGGACCAUGUUAGGGACUCUGGUUCUAUGUCUUCAGGGAGGUGCGUUUGCUUUAAGAGCUGGCCACCGUGGCUGGGUUAGCGCUGGCAUCCUGAGGAAUGUAGCUCACCUGGGAUACCUCACAGCACAAAAGCCGUGUGGUGUCUUGGAAAGAACAUGGUUUCUAGAGUCAGAUAGCGCUGAUUUCAGAUUCCGGCCCUGCUACUUAGCUGAAAAUCUUUGGGUAAGUCACCUCACCUUUCUGAUCUUCAAUUUCCUCAUCUGUUGUGAUACUAAGAUGGAAUAAGACGAUGUGUGUAUGAGACAGGUGUCCGUUAGAGUUCCACUCCUUUCGAAAGUCUGGUACUCAUCCCAAGGUUUCUGUGAAUCCCCAGGGAUUUCAAGGUCAUGUCUGGCCCUAUGAUCUGCAGCUCCUAAACUGCCUGGUACAGAGUUCCCAGUGCAAGCUCUUUCCUGUCAUGGAACCCAGAUCUUUUGAUUAGUUUCACUUCAUUCAUUUACUGAGUACCUGCUGGGCACCAGGCAUUGUUCUAGUGCUGGGGAUACAGCAGUAAACAAAACCAAGAUUCACUUUCAUGGAGCUUACAUUCUGGUAGGGGAAACCAGCAAUCAACAAUCAACAGGUAUAUAAUAAAGUAUCAGAUGGUGGUUUGUGUUAUGGGGAAGAAAAGGCAAACCAAAGAAUAGAAGAUAAUAGAUGUGAGCAUGGGGUGGGUGGGUCAAUUUUAGAUGAGAUAAUUUGAAGGUCGCCCUGAAGGAGUGAUAAGUGAUAAUAAAUUGGAAUGAAGAAGUGAUAACAAACUUGAAUGAAGUAAGGGAGCAAAUCAGACCCUUAAUUUGGGGGAGAGGCUUUUCUAAGCCAAUAGAACAGCAAGUCCAAAGGUACAAAGGCAGGACCAUGUCUGGUGUGUUAAAGGACCAGCAGGGAGGUCAGGACAGCUGGACCAGGGCAGCAGGGAGAUAAGGGCAAAGAGGUGGUGGCAGGACACUAGACCCUGUAGGGCCUCAUAUGUCACUUGGGGACUUUGGGUUUCGUUUUGGGGGUUUUUUUUUAAUAUAAAAAGAAACUUCCCAGUUUUGAUAUUUUGUUUGCAUGCAUUAUAAUAUGCAGUUAUGCUCAGCAGGUUAGUUAUCAUAGGGUUAGUGAGCAAAUCCAUCUUCCUAUGACCUACUUUACGACUUUGGAGAGGACCUACAUUGUAACGCGUUUAGUUUUCUAAAACAAAGAUAUAGUUGGAAGGUGAAACAAACCCAUAAGGAUAAUUAUGAAAACAAACCUCUGACUCUUACAGAAAAUUCAUUGGCAUUUCCAGUAAGAAGUCUUAGAAAUUUCAAUUAAUUUAUCUUAGCUCUCCAAGAUAGAAAGAAGUAUGAAAAAUAAGCACAGACUCCUAUCUGGGUACCAGCUCCCUACUGCUCUGUGCAUCAGGCCAGAGGAAGAGGAUCAGGUCUGCAGGGUUAAGUGGUGUGGCAGGGCACUCAUGAGAAUCAGAGGAGCAGGAGACACUGAGGAUAGGCCCAGAAAACGAAGGAAGGGAACAGCCCAUGCAGAAUGGAGAGGAAGACUGUCCUUAGGGCAGGGGCUAGGGCCACCAGCCAGCAGGAAAUAACAGAGGACAGGCUUGCCAGCUUGCCCCUAAUUUCCAACGGACCAUACCCAAUGAUGAUGGAGAUAGAGAUGAUAUGGAAAUAUUCAAAGCAGAGAUGAGAAAAUUAAGGGAGCUGCAGCUGAGGAAGUGUCUGCGUAUCCUUAUGGGGCAGCUCUCUAAUCACCCUGACCACCAUGAGGAAUGUUGCCUUUGGCCUUGACUCCUGCCAUGUUCCGUGAGAUUAAUAGUGUGAUUCCCACUGUGGUCCUCUUUUUCCUUGCAUUUUCCUGAUACACCUUUACUGAUACAUUGGCUGUGAACCUUAUGUAAUUUCUAAGUGUCAGGUGGGUUCUGUGUGACCAGCUUAUAAUUGGAGAUUGCCGUGGCACUCUUAAGUUUCUGUCAACAGUAGAGUUUCACCAUUUGCAUGGAAAAAUGUAAAGUUAAUAAAGCAAUUGAAAAACAGCAACAGCAAAAAA